rnacentral:sRNA from 1 species
AGCAGCCGCGGUAAUUCCAGCUCCAAUAGCGUAUAUUAAAGUUGUUGCAGUUAAAAAGCUCGUAGUUGAAUUUCGGGGUCAGUAGAUUGGUCGUGCCACUGGUAUGUACUGGUCUUACUGGCUCCUCCUUCCUGAUGAACCGUAAUGCCAUUAAUUUGGUGUUGCGGGGAGACUGGACUGUUACUUUGAAAAAUUAGAGUGUUUAAAGCAGGCUAACGCUUGAAUACAUUAGCAUGGAAUAAUGAAAUAGGACGUUCGAUCUUAUUUUGUUGGUUUCUAAGAUUGACGUAAUGAUUAAUAGGGAUAGUUGGGGGCAUUAGUAUUCAAUUGUCAGAGGUGAAAUUCUUGGAUUUAUUGAAGACUAACUACUGCGAAAGCAUUUGCCAAGGAUGUUUUCAUUAAUCAAGAACGAAAGUUAGGGGAUCGAAGACGAUCAGAUACCGUCGUAGUCUUAACCAUAAACUAUGCCGACU